rnacentral:lncRNA from 1 species
GGGUUUGUUAACACGCGUAUGCCUGUUUUUCAGUUGGUACGUUUUAACAAUGUGUACCGAAUUAUAGUAAACAAAAUUACCUUCAUUUAUGAUGGAUUUUAAGUUUUAAGGUCAAUUUUCAUUCUCAAAACUUAAAAAAAAAAAAAACACCCAAACUCUUACUCACCUCCCUCAUUCCUCUCAACCUUUUCUCUUUCAUCUCUCUCACUCCAACAUUUUCUCUGUCAUCCCUACUGUUGCCCUAAUUGAAAAAAAUCAUCAGAAACUCUUGCCUAACCCUAAUCCACCUUCCUCACUUAUCCAAUUGAAUC